CUUUUGUGUUUCAAAAACCGCAGACCUCAUUUUGCAGCACAGUUCCUAACAGAACCAGGGAAGUCUUCAGGCCGCUGAAGAUGAUAGCAAGUCCUUGUAGCAUCCAACGGGGUGACUAUCAGAAGCCACCAAAUCUCCUUGUGUCCAACACAAUCACAAAGCCCGUGAGGAUGGCCACCAGCAAAGUGGUGUCGACAUGCAAAACAUCAGAACCCUUAAUGAAAAUUUAAAGGGACUGGAGAGAUGGCUUAGUGGUUAAAAGCACCACACUGGCUGUUCUUCCAGCAGGACCCUGGUUCAAUUCCCAGAACCCACAUGGCAGCUCAUGACUGUAUGUAACUCCAGUUCCAGGGGAUCCCACACAGACACACAGCCUGGCUGAAAUGAGAGCUAACAAUCAGAAAUGAUCAGGAAACAACUCCAACCACAGUGAGCAAGAUAAAGCGAGGUGACCCCUGUGAAACGUCAUUGGAGCCCUCCAAAGGGUCCACAACCCACAGGUUGAGGACCACUGUUCUAGAGGAAGCAACUGGAAAGAAGGACUCUUGGGAACAUGAGAGCAUGGAGCCUUGCAAAGGGGGUUGUUACAUAGCAAAGAAUAACUAAGACAUGCCUGUCCUAGCCUGCUUCUUUGGUUGCUCCAAUAAAAUUUAGACCAGAACUAACGUGGGAAGGAAAGGGCUUAUUUGACUUAUAGUCCAUCAUU
rnacentral:lncRNA from 1 species